ensembl:lncRNA MIR646HG MIR646 host gene
GCCGUAUCCUGCCGCCCGUUUUACCCGCGGGAAAGCCGAGGCCCGGUGCUGUAUUCUGCCGCCCAUUUUACCCGCGGGGAAGCUGAGGCCCAGUGCUGUUUAAUAUCUUACUCAUGUUCACUUGAUGAGAAAGUGACAGAUCUGAGACAAACCCAGUUCUAGAGGUUAUGACACCAGCCAUGGAAGAGCAGAGAGGCCAAUGAGGUGGGGAGGUUGGAAACAAAAGGCCUUCUCCACCCCAGCUUGACCAACCCAAAAGCUGGAAGGCAAGGAAGACCUAGAUGGUGUGCUGCAUUCCCAUGGUUUUGGAUCCUGCAACCACUCUUGUUCCACGCAGAGGCCAGCCUGUGGGUUAGAGAGAUGCACAGAGAGGGACAAAGCCCGGAACAAUCACAGAGAAUCAAAGCACUCUGGUUAUACCUUGCCUUCCCUAAGCUGCUGAUGAAUUAGCAGAUCAAAUUCCAGAAAUAAUUCAACCUUCCACUGUUUUUUUUUUUUCACGCACGUGUCCCUUUGCCAGGCAGCCUUGCUGUAGUGCCUCUGUUUAAUAUUCCAUUUGUAAGAUGGGCAGCUCCAAGUCUAUGCUCACUCAGCUGCUCAUCAAGAAUAACAAGGUAAAUGACAAAGGAGGUAAGAAUGUCCUCGUCAAAUGUCCUAUGCUGUCACCUGCCAGAAAGCCCUCGGCAGUCAGUGUCCAAGAUGGCUCCCCACGCAGGAAUCUCUCUGAAGUGCUCUGUGAUCUCCACAACUAAAACAUAAUUUCUGGCUCCAGAGAGCUCUGGGGCUCUGUUCCCUUGUUCAGCCCGUGCUCCUGGUCAUCGUCAGCCCCAGGACUGAGGCUUGGACUGGCUCAGGGGCUGCUGUCUGUGAAAAUCAGAUUGAUGCAUCUGAUUACAUGGCCUGUUAACAUCUGCAAAAAAUAAGAUAAAAUAAGAAUUAUUUACCUGUCACAGCUUUGACACACCAUCACAAACUGGAGCUGACACCUCUUCUGUUCACCUUGGAGAGGUGCAGAGUGAAGAGCAGACCGUGACACACUUAAUAGAUUGCUGGGCAUUUACGGAGCUGCUUGUUACCCAGCUCAAGAGCCAUGUCCAACUGCUACAGCGUUCAUCAAAGACAAGAAGCCACAAGGAGCAAGUCAGUACUGCAAUUCAUUAAGGCAACUUGACCUCUGGGGAGAGGAGAAGAAAAAGGAACUAGCAGCAUUGAUUGCCUAUGUUUCCUGAAGUGUGGUGUCAUGGCAUAAAAUGACAUUGAAUCACAGGAUCGACAGAAAAGAAAUGAGUCAACGAUGGUGCAGAAAGGGACCAGCUUGACGAAGCUUCUGCUUUUGUGACUGUCUCCUAAUGAAACCAGAGCACCUCAGAAGAUCAAGGCUUCCAAAUUCUCCUGGGGGAACAGACGUCAGCCAUUCAGCACAAAGGAAACUUCCUUCUCUGUAUGUCAGAGGAAGACAUAAUUGUGCCAUUUCCUUCUUGAAGAAGUUUACAAACAUUUGCAAGUUGUCAAAAAUAAUUAGUCUAAAAUUGUUUCAUAAACCGUGGAAUGAAACAGGACGUGCCUUGUUGAGAUCAAAGGGCUUCUGUUACCUUCUUGUAAACUCAAAUGAAAUUCUUUUGAAAGUAAACUCUUGGAAUUAGCA